ACGGCUCAGUAACACGUAGUCAACAUGCCCAGAGGACGUGGAUAACCUCGGGAAACUGAGGAUAAACCGCGAUAGGUCAUAUUUACUGGAAUGUUUUAUGGCUCAAAUCUACAUGGCCUCUGGAUUGGACUGCGGCCGAUCAGGCUGUUGGUGAGGUAAUGGCCCACCAAACCUGGUUACCGGUACGGGCUCUGAGAGGAGGAGCCCGGAGAUGGGCACUGAGACAAGGGCCCAGGUCCUAUGGGGCGCAGCAGGCGCGAAACCUCUGCAAUAGGCGAAAGCCUGACAGGGUUACUCUGAGUGAUUCCCGUUAAGGGAAUCUUUUGGCAUCUCUAAAAACGAUGCAGAAUAAGGGGUGGGCAAGUCUGGUGUCAGCCGCCGCGGUAAUACCAGCACCCCGAGUGGUCGGGACGAUUAUUGGGCCUAAAGCAUCCGUAGCCGGUCUUGCAAGUCUUCCGUUAAAUCCAGCUGCUUAACGGAUGGGCUGCGGAAGAUACUACAAGACUAGGAGGCGGAAGAGGCAAGCGGUACUCAGUGGGUAGGGGUAAAAUCCUCUGAUCCAUUGAAGACCACCAGUGGCGAAGGCGGCUUGCCAGAACGCGCUCGACGGUGAGGGAUGAAAGCUGGGGGAGCAAACCGGAUUAGAUACCCGGGUAGUCCCAGCUGUAAACGAUGCAGACUCGGUGAUGGGCCGGCUUCAUGCCGGCUCAGUGCCGCAGGGAAGCCGUUAAGUCUGCCGCCUGGGGAGUACGGUCGCAAGACUGAAACUUAAAGGAAUUGGCGGGGGAGCAC
rnacentral:rRNA from 1 species